GAUAAGCGCUGGCGGCGUGCCUAAUACAUGCAAGUCGAGCGAACGGACGAGAAGCUUGCUUCUCUGAUGUUAGCGGCGGACGGGUGAGUAACACGUGGAUAACCUACCUAUAAGACUGGGAUAACUUCGGGAAACCGGAGCUAAUACCGGAUAAUAUUUUGAACCGCAUGGUUCAAAAGUGAAAGACGGUCUUGCUGUCACUUAUAGAUGGAUCCGCGCUGCAUUAGCUAGUUGGUAAGGUAACGGCUUACCAAGGCAACGAUGCAUAGCCGACCUGAGAGGGUGAUCGGCCACACUGGAACUGAGACACGGUCCAGACUCCUACGGGAGGCAGCAGUAGGGAAUCUUCCGCAAUGGGCGAAAGCCUGACGGAGCAACGCCGCGUGAGUGAUGAAGGUCUUCGGAUCGUAAAACUCUGUUAUUAGGGAAGAACAUAUGUGUAAGUAACUGUGCACAUCUUGACGGUACCUAAUCAGAAAGCCACGGCUAACUACGUGCCAGCAGCCGCGGUAAUACGUAGGUGGCAAGCGUUAUCCGGAAUUAUUGGGCGUAAAGCGCGCGUAGGCGGUUUUUUAAGUCUGAUGUGAAAGCCCACGGCUCAACCGUGGAGGGUCAUUGGAAACUGGAAAACUUGAGUGCAGAAGAGGAAAGUGGAAUUCCAUGUGUAGCGGUGAAAUGCGCAGAGAUAUGGAGGAACACCAGUGGCGAAGGCGACUUUCUGGUCUGUAACUGACGCUGAUGUGCGAAAGCGUGGGGAUCAAACAGGAUUAGAUACCCUGGUAGUCCACGCCGUAAACGAUGAGUGCUAAGUGUUAGGGGGUUUCCGCCCCUUAGUGCUGCAGCUAACGCAUUAAGCACUCCGCCUGGGGAGUACGACCGCAAGGUUGAAACUCAAAGGAGUUGACGGGGACCCGCACAAGCGGUGGAGCAUGUGGUUUAAUUCGAAGCAACGCGAAGAACCUUACCAAAUCUUGACAUCCUUUGACAACUCUAGAGAUAGAGCCUUCCCCUUCGGGGGACAAAGUGACAGGUGGUGCAUGGUUGUCGUCAGCUCGUGUCGUGAGAUGUUGGGUUAAGUCCCGCAACGAGCGCAACCCUUAAGCUUAGUUGCCAUCAUUAAGUUGGGCACUCUAAGUUGACUGCCGGUGACAAACCGGAGGAAGGUGGGGAUGACGGCAAAUCAUCAUGCCCCUUAUGAUUUGGGCUACACACGUGCUACAAUGGACAAUACAAAGGGCAGCGAAACCGCGAGGUCAAGCAAAUCCCAUAAAGUUGUUCUCAGUUCGGAUUGUAGUCUGCAACUCGACUACAUGAAGCUGGAAUCGCUAGUAAUCGUAGAUCAGCAUGCUACGGUGAAUACGUUCCCGGGUCU
rnacentral:rRNA from 1 species